UGGCCGUUACUUCAUCUUUUAAUCACAGCCCUCCACGUGUCUCUGCUCCCUUAUUAUUUCCCAUAUCACUUACUAACUUACUCCACUCCUCAUCCUCGGUCUUGUCUUCUUAUGAACUGAGCUCAUUUUGGAUCAUCGUCUUUAUAGAUGACUUUCUUGGGGUGAGGUCGAUUUCGAACUUCUCAGCUGUAAAACCAGUUUAAAACAAAGCAAGUUACAAAGACGACAUCGUCGGUGAAGAAAUAAAACGAUCUGAUCUUAACUCAUACCAAGUCGCUUGAGGACGUCAGCAAUCGCGGUCUGUCAGGAAAU